CCGCUGAGGACGAAGAAAAGUCGCCAGCGGCUGCUGCUCCUGAGGAUGAAGAAGAUCGACCGGAUGCAGCUGCUGAGAGGUUGUCAUUGCCGAUCGCAACGGCGCAGAAAACAACAAGAAUCGCCGAAUCGCCGAAUCGCCGAAUCGCCAGGGAGCAGAAAAGAAAACAGAGGAAAGAGCGACAAAUGACCGGACUGACUGGGGGCAUCCAUAUUUAUAGUAAAUCGAAACCAAAUGGGUUUAGGAUUCGGAGGCGGUGCUCCGACUCCGGCCGGGUUUCCGGUCACCGCACUCUAUUUUUAUUUUAUUAUUAUUAUUUUAUUUUUAUUUUAUUCGUAGCGUUGAAAGCAAGCAAUUCAUUUGAAAUGCUGCGGCGCUGCGACUCCGGCUAGGGUUUCGAUCACCGCCGCCAAUUACGAUUUUUCAAGAGACUGACUCACUCCGGCUAGGUUUUCGAUCACCGCCGCCAAUUACAAGAGACCAUGGGAAAGUGCAAGCAGAGAGAUCAAACGGGUUUUCUCAUAGGAACUACAGCUUGGGUGCGACGCUCCAGAGGCGUACAGUAAAGAUGGGGCAAAGGAUAACAGCAACAGGGAGACACUCUCAUAUGGCAGAAAUCCACGAUCAUGCAUCUCAUCCACUCAUGGCAGAUGCUCAAAGAAGAACUAUAUCAUCUGGAAAUUCUCAAGAUUAUAUCCAUUCCCUUGAGCGAAGUAACCAGCAGAAUCAGGCACUCUCUCAGAGCUUGCUUUCGGUAGCUUUCCGCCUAAUUAUGUAGAAAAGGAUACUGAGGAACUUUAUCAGGAUUCAGAGCAUGAAACUGUUGAAGAACUAACUAGCAUGCAGAAGCUGGAGAUCGAGGACAAUUACUCUGAACGAAAACACGCCAGGUGAAGAGGGAUCAUUGGUGUCUGCCGAAGUAAAAAAGAUGGUGGCGCUUACUAGCAUUUCAAGUUCGAAGGGCAUACAGGUUGAUAUGAACUUUAGAAUAUUAGUAACUGCUCUUACACUACUAAGCAUUUUUGGAAGUGCCUCUUAUUUGAGGAAUAAACCAGUUGGUCAGAUUGUGUGACGAAAUAUCUAAUCUACUUGAUGUUGGCUUCUGAUUGAGUAGUUUGGGCUAAUUCUUAAUGCAACCGAUACUUUAUUCACCAGAUAUGUUCUUUCUAACUUUAGUUGGACACUGUUUGAGAAAUCCUUAAAGAGCCAACCUAUUCGAGUUAAUUGUGUUAUCAGGUUGAGAUUAUGCUGCCCUGGACUACAUUUACAAUCUUUUUUUUCUCAUAAGAUUAGCACUCUCUCCGCGGCUUUGGCAUUGGGAACAAGGAAAGCAUUGCAAGAUUGCUAUGGGCAUUCUUCCAUUACUGGGUAUCAUCAUGAUUAUACAAAUGAUGUUAUAUCUAUUCGCACAGGGAGCAUCAUCAGGUAAUGUCAUUCGUAUUUUCUCGACACGAGUUCUUCAGACUUUUGCAGUUUGGUAAUUACUCCUCGGCUGGAAAUGUCUAGCUUAGUAUGGAAAUGUAUGUCUAGCUUAGUAUUUGUUUCUAUUGUUCUUUCUAAUGCAGAUCGAAUUUGAAGUUUUCCUUGUCUACAGCAUCUUCAUUUCUUGAUUCUCCAUUCAGCAGUAUUGUUGUAUUUGUUCGUAUUAGCGGAUCGAGAUCCUUUUCGUUUAUACUUCUCGCUUCAUUCUAACUUAUCCAUCUUGUUAUAACUUUCAGUGAGCAAGAAAAGGACUGGACGCGGCGAAUUGGAAAUGACUGUCACCUAAUAUGCAUCGAAGACCCGUUCAAUAUCUCGCACGACCUUGGUCGAUCGAGUAGUCGACAAGUACAGCAUCAAAAUCCUAAGGGAAGAGUUUGAACGAGCUGCUGACAUAAUGCAAUGCGACCCAACUCCCACCGUCACCCUUUUCCAACCUUAUGAACCAGGAUCCCCGCAGAGGCAAAUCAGCAGGAGCUAGGUGAAUGAUAUUCAACACUGAAUGCUAAAUAUGUAUAUUCCUCUCUGAGAAGCAGUGUUCUUUCAGCUCCUUUGUGUAUAGAUUGUACUGUGUCAUGGAUGAUUCCUGUUUUUGUAACUUAUUUCCUAGGUGAGUCGAUUAGGGAUAAAAUAGGAUAAAAUAAAAUUAUUAUAGGUAGAAGAGGUUGAGCUUCCAUAUAAUGAUGAAAUUACUAUCGUGUGUGAUUUCAAGAUCAUGAAAAUGAC